rnacentral:rRNA from 1 species
GUGAUAAACUGGAGGAAGGUGGGGAUGACGUCAAGUCAUCAUGGCCCUUACGACCAGGGCUACACACGUGCUACAAUGGCGCAUACAAAGAGAAGCGACCUCGCGAGAGCAAGCGGACCUCAUAAAGUGCGUCGUAGUCCGGAUUGGAGUCUGCAACUCGACUCCAUGAAGUCGGAAUCGCUAGUAAUCGUGGAUCAGAAUGCCACGGUGAAUACGUUCCCGGGCCUUGUACACACCGCCCGUCACACCAUGGGAGUGGGUUGCAAAAGAAGUAGGUAGCUUAACCUUCGGGAGGGCGCUUACCACUUUGUGAUUCAUGACUGGGGUGAAGUCGUAACAAGGUAACCGUAGGGGAACCUGCGGUUGGAUCACCUCCUUACCUUAAAGAAGC